rnacentral:rRNA from 1 species
CGAUUUUAUUGAGUCUAAAGCGUUCGUAGCCGGUCCGUUAAAUCCUUGGGUAAAUCGGGAAGCUCAACUUUCCGACUUCCGAGGAGACUGGCGGACUUGGGACCGGGAGAGGCCAGAGGUACUUCUGGGGUAGGGGUAAAAUCCUGUAAUCCUAGAAGGACCACCGGUGGCGAAGGCGUCUGGCUAGAACGGAUCCGACGGUGAGGGACGAAGCCCUGGGUCGCAAACGGGAUUAGAUACCCCGGUAGUCCAGGGUGUAAACGCUGCCGACUUGGUGUUGGGGGCCCUUCGGGGGAACUCAGUGCCGGAGAGAAGUUGUUAAGUCGGCCACUUGGGGAGUACGUCCGCAAGGAUGAAACUUAAAGGAAUUGGCGGGGGAGCAC